rnacentral:ncRNA from 1 species
AUGGGAACAGCACGGCCGCAGAUCUGACUCGCCCACGCGGGCUCCGGGACUGCGGUAGUGU